rnacentral:rRNA from 1 species
CACGUAGGGCGCAAGCGUUGUCCGGAAUUAUUGGGCGUAAAGAGCUCGUAGGCGGUCUGUUGCGUCCGCUGUGAAAACUCGGGGCUUAACCCCGAGCCUGCAGUGGAUACGGGCAGACUAGAGGUAGGUAGGGGAGAAUGAAAUUCCCGGUGUAGCGGUGAAAUGCGCAGAUAUCGGGAGGAACACCGGUGGCGAAGGCGGUUCUCUGGGCCUUACCUGACGCUGAGGAGCGAAAGCGUGGGGAGCGAACAGG